rnacentral:rRNA from 1 species
UACGAAGGGGGCAAGCGUUGUUCGGAAUUACUGGGCGUAAAGGGCGCGUAGGCGGCCGAUCAAGUCAGGCGUGAAAUUCCCGGGCUCAACCUGGGGGCUGCGCUUGAUACUGAUUGGCAUGAAUGCGGGAGAGGAUAGUGGAAUUCCCAGUGCAGAGGUGAAAUUCGUAGAUAUUGGGAAGAACACCGGUGGCGAAGGCGGCUAUCUGGCCCGUAAUUGACGCUGAGGCGCGAAAGCGUGGGGAGCAAACAGG